CACCCUCUAAUGAAAAUCAAAUAAUAGUAUUUUAAAUUAAUAAAAAAAAUCAAUCAAAAAAAUGAUAAUAAAUCAUGGUCAGCUGUAGACAGGUGGUAGAGAAAGAUUCCAAAUAACGGUCUCCCUCACACUCACUACACACUAACCAUAUCUCCCUCUACCUCCUCUCUCUCUCACAGGCUACAAAAAGAAAAAGAAAAAAUAUAAUAAAAGGGAGAUCCACUCACACGCGUCCCCCACUCCUUCUCUUCUCUCUCACCUCACCUAUCUUCACUCUCAAUCUAUGUAAUAAAAAAAAUGAAAAAAAAGAGGAUGUUCCCUCUUCUUCGAAUCGCACCACUACCAUCGCCCUUAAUACUCA
rnacentral:lncRNA from 1 species